rnacentral:rRNA from 1 species
GACGAACGCUGGCGGCGUGCUUAACACAUGCAAGUCGAACGGAAAGGCCCUGCUUUUGUGGGGUGCUCGAGUGGCGAACGGGUGAGUAACACGUGAGUAACCUGCCCUUGACUUUGGGAUAACUUCAGGAAACUGGGGCUAAUACCGGAUAGGAGCUCCUGCUGCAUGGUGGGGGUUGGAAAGUUUCGGCGGUUGGGGAUGGACUCGCGGCUUAUCAGCUUGUUGGUGGGGUAGUGGCUUACCAAGGCUUUGACGGGUAGCCGGCCUGAGAGGGUGACCGGCCACAUUGGGACUGAGAUACGGCCCAGACUCCUACGGGAGGCAGAAGUGGGGAAUAUUGCACAAGGGGCGGAAGCAUGAUGCAGCAACGCCGCGUGCGGGAUGACGGCCUUCGGGUUGUAAACCGCUUUCGCCUGUGACGAAGCGUGAGUGACGGUAAUGGGUAAAGAAGCACCGGCUAACUACGUG